rnacentral:rRNA from 1 species
CGAUUGAUACGCGAGGAACCUUACCUGGGCUCGAACGUAAGAUGACUGUAGGUGAAAGCUUACAUCUCUUCGGAGCAUUUUACGAGGUGCUGCAUGGUUGUCGUCAGCUCGUGCCGUGAGGUGUCGGGUUAAGUCCCAUAACGAGCGCAACCCUACCUUUAGUUGCCAUCAGGUUAAGCUGGGGACUCUAAAGGAACUGCCUACGCAAGUAGUGAGGAAGGCGGGGAUGACGUCAAAUCAGCACGGCCCUUACGUCCAGGGCUACACACGUGCUACAAUGGCCGAUACAGAGGGCAGCUACCUGGUGACAGGAUGCAAAUCUCCAAAGUCGGUCUCAGUUCGGAUCGGAGUCUGCAACCCGACUCCGUGAAGUUGGAUUCGCUAGUAAUCGCGCAUCAGCCAUGGCGCGGUGAAUACGUUCCCGGGCCUU